UCAUCUGAUGAUGAUAUCUCAUGGGGCUGUUAUGAAGAUUAAAUGAAUCAGUACAUACGAAGAAUUAAGAAGAAUUUCUGGAACAUGGCACCCGGUCUCCACUGGCAUAAAAGAAAAAUCCUUUUCCAGAAAUGGUUUCAUUACAUGCGAUGUAAACUGCCUUCCUUUGCUAACUGAUCUGCAGACUUUGCUUGGGCACCCGUUCAGAUAUAGUAGUGCACACCACACCAGAAAGACCCGGCAAGCAGAGCUGAUUAUACAGGGUAGCCAUGGGCUUCCAAAGAUGGAAAUACUCCAGGGACAUAGGAAGUGCCUGAGUGAUCUGGUCCUUUGAGGAACCACUCUUCUAAAAG